GACGAACGCUGGCGGCGUGCUUAACACAUGCAAGUCGAGCGGUAAGGCCCUUUCGGGGGUACACGAGCGGCGAACGGGUGAGUAACACGUGGGUGACCUGCCCUCAGCUCUGGGAUAAGCCUGGGAAACUGGGUCUAAUACUGGAUAUGACUCCACGGUGCAUGUCGUGGGGUGGAAAGCCUUGUGCGGCUGAGGAUGAGCCCGCGGCCUAUCAGCUUGUUGGUGGGGUGAUGGCCUACCAAGGCGACGACGGGUAGCCGGCCUGAGAGGCGACCGGCCACACUGGGACUGAGACACGGCCCAGACUCCUACGGGAGGCAGCAGUGGGGAAUCUUGCGCAAUGGGCGAAAGCCUGACGCAGCGACGCCGCGUGAGGGAUGACGGCCU
rnacentral:rRNA from 1 species